AUUGAACGCUGGCGGCAGGCCUAACACAUGCAAGUCGAGCGGAUGAAGGGAGCUUGCUCCCGGAUUCAGCGGCGGACGGGUGAGUAAUGCCUAGGAAUCUGCCUGGUAGUGGGGGAUAACGUCCGGAAACGGGCGCUAAUACCGCAUACGUCCUGAGGGAGAAAGUGGGGGAUCUUCGGACCCCACGCUAUCAGAUGAGCCUAGGUCGGAUUAGCUAGUUGGUGGGGUAAAGGCCUACCAAGGCGACGAUCCGUAACUGGUCUGAGAGGAUGAUCAGUCACACUGGAACUGAGACACGGUCCAGACUCCUACGGGAGGCAGCAGUGGGGAAUAUUGGACAAUGGGCGAAAGCCUGAUCCAGCCAUGCCGCGUGUGUGAAGAAGGUCUUCGGAUUGUAAAGCACUUUAAGUUGGGAGGAAGGGCAGUAAGUUAAUACCUUGCUGUUUUGACGUUACCAACAGAAUAAGCACCGGCUAACUUCGUG
rnacentral:rRNA from 1 species